rnacentral:rRNA from 1 species
AUUGAACGCUGGCGGCAUGCCUUACACAUGCAAGUCGAACGGCAGCACGGGAGCAAUCCUGGUGGCGAGUGGCGAACGGGUGAGUAAAGUAUCGGAACGUGCCCAGUCGUGGGGGAUAACGUAGCGAAAGUUACGCUAAUACCGCAUACGAUCUAUGGAUGAAAGCGGGGGAUCGCAAGACCUAGCGCGAUUGGAGCGGCCGAUAUCAGAUUAGGUAGUGGGUGGGGUAAAGGCUCACCAAGCCGACGAUCUGUAGCUGGUCUGAGAGGACGACCAGCCACACUGGGACUGAGACACGGCCCAGACUCCUACGGGAGGCAGCAGUGGGGAAUUUUGGACAAUGGGCGAAAGCCUGAUCCAGCCAUGCCGCGUGCAGGAUGAAGGCCUUCGGGUUGUAAACUGCUUUUGUACGGAACGAAAAGGUUUGGCCUAAUAAGCUGAGCUCAUGACGGUACCGUAAGAAUAAGCACCGGCUAACUACGUGCCAGCCGCCGCAGUAA